ensembl:lncRNA
CUCCUCUCACAUUCUGUCAUUGUGUCCUCGGCCUAGCUGCCACGUGGUCGUAGCGGACCAGGACUGACCCCUCAGUUUUUUACUCUCACUCUUCCUCUUUCUCCUUCACUGUCCACAUCUCAUUGUCGAUUUCUGCGACUGUGUAUCACACUAGACGAAGUGCUGGAAUGGCCAUCUCACAGGUUCACAGGAUGGGUCUGAACCUGCACUGUACGCCGGUCAAUCAUUUAACGUGACACUGGGGAAAGUACCGUGCAUACAACUACUUCACAGCUCAGAGGGCCUCGCAGGCACCUUGUACAGGUCCCAUGAUGAAGCUCAUCUACGUGCCCGUUGACGCACCAAGUCAUCAGCUGCCAAGCAACCUGCUCGUUGCACCGAGACCCAUCCAACCACCCCAGGAGCGUGAUGCGUGAAUCAAGGUGCCUGGGAAAGCGAGAUCCGUAGCAGUCAGUCUCUAACAGCCUCUGCCAGGACGUGGCUCUGCUGCUGGUGUAACAAGAGGUACUGUAAGAAGGAUGGGGUUCAAUGGGAGGUUUGCUCUGGAGUAGUCCCAUGGAACUAAGAGGAUGGGUGGUUUUAAUUAAAAUGUCAUCCCAAUUGUUUUUUAAUCUUUAUAGUCUUCAAGAGGCAUGCCAGUGCCACUGUUAUUGCAGUGCUAAGCAAUGUUGGCCAUUAUACCUAAUGCAGGUCCAAACUGGUACUAUUGGCCGAUGGAUGGAAAUUUUUGAUUUCAAGAAUGCUGACAAUGCACCUUCGAUCUGUUCAGUCUGGACCGGCCCGGCCCGAAACAUCGUUAGCGGUGCCCAGCCAAGCGGAGACGAUGAGCAGGCAGGAGAAGCAAGCAGUGGAUCUCAAAGGAUAUGAGCACACGCCAUUGGGCCAGCAGCCUGCAGAGCAUGGCUUAGAAUCCACUGUCCACCAGCACCUGCAUAGACUGUUUGGCCCAGAGACAGCAGAGUACUUCCUGAACCCAGCCCUUGUGAAAACACGUGCGUCACCAUGGCUCCUGCAAUGGAUGGCUCAGGUGGGAGAACAGGUUAGCGGACAGGUGUUGUGGAACACACUGAGAAGGAACUCCAACGCCCGGCUACUGAAAAUGGAAACUGGUUGUCCGAAGGUGGCGCGCGAGGCUGAGAACAUCGCAGGAGUCGAUGCCCAUAAGCAUGAGCGGAGUCACCUGCACCAUCUGUCUCGGGUCAGAUGCAUGUUUCAGACCGCACAACUCAACCAGGCCAAGACCACCCGGCUGCUUGCCGAAAACCCCCUGCCGCAGCUCUCGGACCGCUGGGAAUGGGGGGGUCCUCAUGGGUACCUCCCACAGAUGAGGGACAUGCAAGAAACAUCUGCCAGGGAUGUACAAAGAUUCAAACAUGGGAAACUCACAUAGCUGCAGUUUAUUCAGGAAUCACGGAUAGAGUCAUAUGUGACUAUAUAAAAAAGUAGCUUUUAUGCUUAUAAGGUGCUUUGCAACAAAAUUUUAGCUCAAUGGACAAAAGUAAAUUUUUUAACACUGGUGAUCGCAAGCAGUUUUGCUAAAAAAGAGAAAAACAUCAAGAAGUUUUGGUACUUCAUCUUGUUUUUACUGAACUUGUAAAUGUGCACCAUUAUAGGCCCCAAGUGUCUAAGUGAUACUCACAAUGCAUUGUACUUUUUCAGUGAUAAACACUAAUUAACAACUGCUGAAGGGCUACAAGUCGCAGAUAUAUGAAUCAGUGUACAUGCAGAAAAAAAUGCGUGUAGAUGUUAAUUGCUGCAAAAAGGAAGCCUUAUGUCAUAUUCUCCACCAAAAAUCUAUAGCAUACUUUAACGAACAUAACCAUUUACGGACACAAUGUGUUAACCAUUGCUUGCUGUUUCAGUUUUAACUGACAAAGUCAUUGCUUUAAAAUUUAUAUUAACUGUAACUUCCAUGAAUCAAAUUAUAUUAAAUUAUUAUAUAAUUUAUUUUACCUCCAUUUAUUGGGGAUUUUUGUGAAUGACAGUAAUGCUUUUUAAUUCCUUGAAAAAUACUGGCAAUCACGAUCCAAAAGAGGGCAGUGUCCGGUCACAUGAUACUUACCACAGUAAGUACACUCAAUAACUUAAAUUUACACUUUCAUUAGUUCUACAUGGUUCUAUUUCUAAUCUUUUUCAGUACUGAGUACUCGGUUGAUUUUAAAAUGUAACCAAAAAUGUGUUGUGCAUGUGAUUUUAAACUUUUAAACUAUUUUUUCAUCAUAAAUGGGAAUACCAUACUUAUCCAGUUUUAAGUAAGAAUCAAGAAAACGCUUCUACGGUUUGUGGAAGAAUCUGACUGCACUGAUUUUAAUAAAACUUUGCAAUGUGGCGAUCCUAC